rnacentral:lncRNA from 1 species
GGACGUGUUUGCUUCCCCAUCUAACAUGAUUGCAUAGGAGCCUCUUUCAAUGGCUGCCACCACCAAAGACCCAUGGUACAGGUGGAGCCACAGGAAGAUAGAUCACCAAAAAGGCUCUUAAGGUUCCUGAUUCCAGGACUUGACAUUUGGAUGGCAUUUCUGGACCUGCCUUGGCCCACAGCGAAGACACUGCUGUAAAGGGAUGCUUCCUUCCCUUGAACAUCAGACUCAGUUCUUCAGCUUUUGGACUCUUGGACUUAACACCUGUGAUUUGCCAGGGGCUCUCGGGCCUUUGGCUACAGACUGAAGGCUGCACUAUCGGUUUCCCUACUUUCGAGGUUUUGGGACUCGGACUUGCUUCCUUGCUCCUAGCUUGCAGACAGGCUAUCGUGUGUCUUCACCUUGUGAUCGUGGUGUCAAGUCUUCCUUCAGCACUCCUGGACUGCAUGCUCUAACCCCAAGAGGCUGGGACCAGGCUCACAAUGUUGUUCUCUGGCCUCUUGAGGUUAAGUAUAUUCUGCACUGGAGGAAACAAGGUGUUCCUGGUUCAGCUGCUCACCACUGGAAAGCCAAACACAGAAGAUGAAAUUUGAUGAGAAGAAAAGCAGUUUUAUUUGGAAAGCCAGCAAAACUGAGAAGACGGUGAAAUAGCAUUUACAAGUCUGCUGUGGUAUGCUGAAGACUCACUC